rnacentral:rRNA from 1 species
CAAAUUGAGAGUUUGAUCCUGGCUCAGGAUGAACGCUGGCGGCGUGCCUAAUACAUGCAAGUCGAACGCUUUGUGGUUCAACUGAUUUGAAGAGCUUGCUCAGAUAUGACGAUGGACAUUGCAAAGAGUGGCGAACGGGUGAGUAACACGUGGGAAACCUACCUCUUAGCAGGGGAUAACAUUUGGAAACAGAUGCUAAUACCGUAUAACAAUGACAACCGCAUGGUUGUUAUUUAAAAGAUGGUUCUGCUAUCACUAAGAGAUGGUCCCGCGGUGCAUUAGCUAGUUGGUAAGGUAAUGGCUUACCAAGGCGAUGAUGCAUAGCCGAGUUGAGAGACUGAUCGGCCACAAUGGGACUGAGACACGGCCCAUACUCCUACGGGAGGCAGCAGUAGGGAAUCUUCCACAAUGGGCGAAAGCCUGAUGGAGCAACGCCGCGUGUGUGAUGAAGGGUUUCGGCUCGUAAAACACUGUUGUAAGAGAAGAAUGACAUUGAGAGUAACUGUUCAAUGUGUGACGGUAUCUUACCAGAAAGGAACGGCUAAAUACGUGCCAGCAGCCGCGGUAAUACGUAUGUUCCAAGCGUUAUCCGGAUUUAUUGGGCGUAAAGCGAGCGCAGACGGUUAUUUAAGUCUGAAGUGAAAGCCCUCAGCUCAACUGAGGAAUUGCUUUGGAAACUGGAUGACUUGAGUGCAGUAGAGGAAAGUGGAACUCCAUGUGUAGCGGUGAAAUGCGUAGAUAUAUGGAAGAACACCAGUGGCGAAGGCGGCUUUCUGGACUGUAACUGACGUUGAGGCUCGAAAGUGUGGGUAGCAAACAGGAUUAGAUACCCUGGUAGUCCACACCGUAAACGAUGAGUGCUAGGUGUUUGAGGGUUUCCGCCCUUAAGUGCCGCAGCUAACGCAUUAAGCACUCCGCCUGGGGAGUACGACCGCAAGGUUGAAACUCAAAGGAAUUGACGGGGACCCGCACAAGCGGUGGAGCAUGUGGUUUAAUUCGAAGCAACGCGAAGAACCUUACCAGGUCUUGACAUCCCUUGACAACUCCAGAGAUGGAGCGUUCCCUUCGGGGACAAGGUGACAGGUGGUGCAUGGUUGUCGUCAGCUCGUGUCGUGAGAUGUUGGGUUAAGUCCCGCAACGAGCGCAACCCUUAUUACUAGUUGCCAGCAUUCAGUUGGGCACUCUAGUGAGACUGCCGGUGACAAACCGGAGGAAGGUGGGGAUGACGUCAAAUCAUCAUGCCCCUUAUGACCUGGGCUACACACGUGCUACAAUGGCGUAUACAACGAGUUGCCAACCCGCGAGGGUGAGCUAAUCUCUUAAAGUACGUCUCAGUUCGGAUUGUAGGCUGCAACUCGCCUACAUGAAGUCGGAAUCGCUAGUAAUCGCGGAUCAGCACGCCGCGGUGAAUACGUUCCCGGGUCUUGUACACACCGCCCGUCACACCAUGAGAGUUUGUAACACCCAAAGCCGGUGGGGUAACCUUCGGGAGCCAGCCGUCUAAGGUGGGACAGAUGAUUAGGGUGAAGUCGUAACAAGGUAGCCGUAGGAGAACCUGCGGCUGGAUCACCUCCUUUCUAAGGAA